CUGAUGGCGACCGGCGUACGGGUGAGUAACGCGUAUCCAACCUGCCCUUUACUAUGGGACAGCCCGUCGAAAGGCGGAUUAACACCGUAUGUUGUCAUGUUGAUGCAUAUUUUCAUGACCAAAGGCUUCGGCCGGUAAAGGAUGGGGAUGCGUCUGAUUAGCUUGCCGGCGGGGUAACGGCCCACCGGGGCGACGAUCAGUAGGGGUUCUGAGAGGAAGGUCCCCCACAUUGGAACUGAGACACGGUCCAAACUCCUACGGGAGGCAGCAG
rnacentral:rRNA from 1 species